UCCUGGCUCAGGACGAACGCUGGCGGCGUGCCUAAUACAUGCAAGUCGAACGAACUCUGGUAUUGAUUGGUGCUUGCAUCAUGAUUUACAUUUGAGUGAGUGGCGAACUGGUGAGUAACACGUGGGAAACCUGCCCAGAAGCGGGGGAUAACACCUGGAAACAGAUGCUAAUACCGCAUAACAACUUGGACCGCAUGGUCCGAGCUUGAAAGAUGGCUUCGGCUAUCACUUUUGGAUGGUCCCGCGGCGUAUUAGCUAGAUGGUGGGGUAACGGCUCACCAUGGCAAUGAUACGUAGCCGACCUGAGAGGGUAAUCGGCCACAUUGGGACUGAGACACGGCCCAAACUCCUACGGGAGGCAGCAGUAGGGAAUCUUCCACAAUGGACGAAAGUCUGAUGGAGCAACGCCGCGUGAGUGAAGAAGGGUUUCGGCUCGUAAAACUCUGUUGUUAAAGAAGAACAUAUCUGAGAGUAACUGUUCAGGUAUUGACGGUAUUUAACCAGAAAGCCACGGCUAACUACGUGCCAGCAGCCGCGGUAAUACGUAGGUGGCAAGCGUUGUCCGGAUUUAUUGGGCGUAAAGCGAGCGCAGGCGGUUUUUUAAGUCUGAUGUGAAAGCCUUCGGCUCAACCGAAGAAGUGCAUCGGAAACUGGGAAACUUGAGUGCAGAAGAGGACAGUGGAACUCCAUGUGUAGCGGUGAAAUGCGUAGAUAUAUGGAAGAACACCAGUGGCGAAGGCGGCUGUCUGGUCUGUAACUGACGCUGAGGCUCGAAAGUAUGGGUAGCAAACAGGAUUAGAUACCCUGGUAGUCCAUACCGUAAACGAUGAAUGCUAAGUGUUGGAGGGUUUCCGCCCUUCAGUGCUGCAGCUAACGCAUUAAGCAUUCCGCCUGGGGAGUACGGCCGCAAGGCUGAAACUCAAAGGAAUUGACGGGGGCCCGCACAAGCGGUGGAGCAUGUGGUUUAAUUCGAAGCUACGCGAAGAACCUUACCAGGUCUUGACAUACUAUGCAAAUCUAAGAGAUUAGACGUUCCCUUCGGGGACAUGGAUACAGGUGGUGCAUGGUUGUCGUCAGCUCGUGUCGUGAGAUGUUGGGUUAAGUCCCGCAACGAGCGCAACCCUUAUUAUCAGUUGCCAGCAUUAAGUUGGGCACUCUGGUGAGACUGCCGGUGACAAACCGGAGGAAGGUGGGGAUGACGUCAAAUCAUCAUGCCCCUUAUGACCUGGGCUACACACGUGCUACAAUGGAUGGUACAACGAGUUGCGAACUCGCGAGAGUAAGCUAAUCUCUUAAAGCCAUUCUCAGUUCGGAUUGUAGGCUGCAACUCGCCUACAUGAAGUCGGAAUCGCUAGUAAUCGCGGAUCAGCAUGCCGCGGUGAAUACGUUCCCGGGCCUUGUACACACCGCCCGUCACACCAUGAGAGUUUGUANCACCCAAAGUCGGUGGGGUAACCUUUUAGGAACCAGCCGCCUAAGGUGGGACAGAUGAUUAGGGUGAAGUCGUAACAAGGUAGCCGUAGGAGAACCUGCGGCUGGAUCACCUCCUUU
rnacentral:rRNA from 2 species